CCUACGGGGGGCAGCAGUGAGGAAUAUUGGUCAAUGGGCGCGAGCCUGAACCAGCCAAGUCGCGUGAGGGAAGACUGCCCUAUGGGUUGUAAACCUCUUUUGUCAGGGAGCAACGCCGGCUACGUGUAGCCGGACUGAGAGUAUCUGAAGAAAAAGCAUCGGCUAACUCCGUGCCAGCAGCCGCGGUAAUACGGAGGAUGCGAGCGUUAUCCGGAUUUAUUGGGUUUAAAGGGUGCGUAGGCGGAAUGCCAAGUCAGCGGUAAAAUCGCGGGGCUCAACCUCGCUCCGCCGUUGAAACUGGCGUGCUUGAGUGGGCGAGAAGUAUGCGAAUGCGUGGUGUAGCGGUGAAAUGCAGAGAUAUCACGCAGAACUCCGAUUGCGAAGGCAGCAUACCGGCGCCCAACUGACGCUGAAGCACGAAAGCGUGGGUAUCGAACAGGAUUAGAUACCCGAGUAGUC
rnacentral:rRNA from 1 species